GAUAGAAGACAGCUGCUACACCUGUGACCACCAGAUUCAUUUGCUGGGAGUUCUGGAAAUGCACGUUGUGGAGAGAAGUAACUUCUGUCAUGCCAAGGAGGACUACUCCCCUUCAGGAUGCCACUAAUCACAUCCUUGCAGGAAGAGACAAGAAUUCAGUGUUAGAAAUCAAAUAUAUUAAUCCAGUUAAAGUGCAGUGCAAAAAGGAAGAGAUGUGGCUUCCCAUCUGCUUCGAUCAACUUCAUUCUACAAUUUGGUGCCUUGUGCUCAUCGUUUACCAGUCAUCCAAAUGACCUAUCUUCAAGUGCUCCAUCAAUGCUGCAAAUGUACAAACAUCAUGCACUAAACAGACGUUUAUAGUGACACUUGUACCUUCAUUU